CUGUAUAGAGAGAGGUCCUGUAUAGAAAGAGGUCCUUACUGUAGCUGCAGCAUCCACUUGUUGAAGUGUUCAUGGUGACUGGAGUGGAGCUUCUCAAUCUCUGAAGAAUAACACGCCGGUUUCCCUUCUAACAGACGGAACAAGGUCUCCUACACACAACAAACAUGAAUCACGUGGUUUACUUCCAUACAUCUCCUAGGUGUGUACUCACCCGGUCUAGUUUAGGUGUGUGUGUGUGUGUGUAUACUCACCCGGUCUAGUUUAGGUGUGUGUGUGUGUACUCACCCGGUCUAGUUUAGGUGUGUGUAGGCGCUGCAGGGUCCGGUCUGAUGUCAGGAAUUUAGAACUGCCGUGAGCCUCAAAGUAUUCCUCGACCAGACUGGCCUAAAACAGAAAGAACUAAGUCAUAC